AAAAAUGUUAUAUAUUCCACUAUAAAUUGUGUAAUUUUUACACAUAUUAUUUAUGUAAUUUUAUUUUCUCUUUUCAGCGUACAGUAUCUAUUAUUUAACUGAAUAAAAGAGAUUGUAAUCUAGUAAAAGAGAUUUCGCCUACGUUUUCUGACAAAAUAGCUUCGCUAUCGUUUACCUUAAAUUUUGCUGGAAGUAACACAUAGUGCGCACAAACGGCGCCUGUAUUUUAUCCAAAUAGUAAUCGUGGGAUAAGACCAGACAUAUUUGUCUAAUAAACGCGCGAUGUCGUCUCCGUACGACCCGCACAACCUACCGUAGGGGGCUGACGUAACGUCUUCUUAAGCGAGAGGGUAGUGUUUCCCCGAAGUACACUGGGUCGACGAGAUCGUCCAUCCGGAAAAUAACCUCGACCAAAACAACCGUUGUGCUUUUCCAAGUCUUAUCCAUUUUGGCGCGUAACGUGCUUCCCGGCCGUGCCUGCCUGCCGGGACCUACAAUGUCGUUCCCUUGACUCCGCUCUGUCUGGUCAGCGCACGAUCGUACCUUUUCUGCUUCGAGAACCACUUCCGCAUGCGGCCACGUCGCGUUUUAUCGCGCCGAUAAAACACCGUUUUCCUUUGAUGCGGGUCUGCCCCAGAUACGAUGUUUAACUUAUGCAUACGGACGGGGAGUAAGGAUGAUCUUGAGAUGAGAGAGAUCUAUCAUAAUAUCUUAAAUAUUAAAAAUAGCACUGGCGGCACUUUAUGUACGCUAUAUACUACAGUCUAAACAUAUGGCAAACCGAGAAAUCUCUUUGAUUGUUUAAAACUUUGCGCGCAGUGCGCUAAAACAAACAGAACCUCCAAACGUAAUCAAAAAUUAAAAUUUUUUUAGUUCAAUUUCUAUUUUAUUCAAUAAUAAUCGUGAAAAUUUUCUCUUCUAUAAUUUAGUUUAGUAAAAAAAAACUUAAAGAGACGAAUUUUUAAAACAUUGAUAGUGAAACGAGAAUUAUAGUUAGACAUUCAGGGAUUAAGCGUCAUCGUCGACAUAAUGUUUCCGUAGCAUGUUCUUUCCUCGAGAUUCGUUACCAUAUGUAUUUCGGUGGUCCCUUGUCGAUCGCUCUCAGAAUGACGAUAAUAUAUAAUCGCAAUAUAGAGGCAACGACGAUAGACCGUGACCUGUCGCCGACGCCCCCGCUAGUCUUUUAUUGCACGUUUAAGCCGCGGACCGCCCUAUACAUCAUCUGCCUACCUUUGCGACGGUUCAAUCGGAAGCGAUUAAUGGCCUUUUUAUUCGGCUCGUAAAAUCGUUUUAUAUUAAAGCUGGCAUGGCCGCGAGGACGCGCGAUGCACUGCUCUCUCGCUACCGAUCGACGACUAUUCAUCCUGCCUCUCUACAUCCCUUCGCGCGAGCUCCAUUUUCUCCAUCUUCCAUUUGUCUUCCCGCGACAGAAUGAAGCUCGAUGGCAUAAUCCUUUCCCCCUUCGUGAUGGAGAAUGAUUCCUCUCUCUCCUCCUCCCCCCUCUUACUCUCACCAUAUUCGCCCUCCCUUUUGUCUGAGAAUUUCUUCGGCGCGACGACUGUAACUGGAAACGAAUUUCGGUCGCGUCAUUUGUACAUUUUCAGCGAGCAAACAGUGCGUUUUUAUCGUACCUUAUAAACAUUCGGUAGAUUCUUCUAGGAACCGAGUAUUUGUGGAAUGCGAGGAUUGUUGGAAUUACGUUAUAAUGAAGCUUUAAAAUAUUCUGCCUCUGAUUUUCUUGCAAGGGAAGAAGCAGCUUUUGAUGAAAGUCAUACUUUCCGAGUACUUAAAAACUUUCAAAUUGCAUACUAUAGUAUUUACAGAAAAAUAUUAAAAGUACAAGUUUUUUUAUCUGUAAAUUAUUAGAGAUCCGUAAAUUAUUAAUUUAUAAUAUACUUUAAGCAAAAAAGGAAGAUCAAUUUUUUUUUGCUUCGAAUUGUUGGAGUCAACAAAUCAUUUCUUUCAUUAUCUAGAUUUAUUUCCGUCGUGGAAUUGUUCCAGGAUGAAAUCCCCGAUACGAUAACCCAUCCGAUGUCAUGCAAAUGCACAAUGCAAUUUUGUGUCGUUGUUACCGCACGUUCGCUGUCGUUCCUUGGAACCGACAUCGCAUUUCCGGUUUGCGUCUCGACACUGGCGGCUUAUUACGAUCCACCUCCGAAAACACGUUGCGUGUGCGCGCGAUAAUACUUACGAAUGCAAUUUUCUCGGGCAACGGCGUUGUCGUCGUCGUCGUCGUCGUCGUCGUCGUCGUCGUCGUUAUCGCGCAGUAACGCUCAUGCCGGAAGAUUGUUUGCGCGGCGAAACGAAGACAAGGCGAUACCGUGUUCCACGAGAGAAACCGGCGAGAGACGGAAGUCUACGUGUGUAUGAAACACCCGGCUUGUUUGUUUCUCGCGUAUACACAGGUCCGUAAAUACAUAGUUACCUCGCCGUAACUUGCAUUUACAGUUACCUGCGGGCGCGCAUAUCCGCGGGUUGCUGCACGGAGCUCUACACACAACCGCACGGGGGAGUCACCCCUGCAGGGGGAAUUUUUAAAUUUGUUUCCACUCCAUUAACCUCGCCUCUCGUACCCCUCGUACCGCUCUUCUCUUUGCCACUCGCCCUCGCUGCUCGUUUCCUCCCUGUCUCGUUUCCCUCUGUUUGUACACGAACGUCGACUACUGACAGCUAGCAGGGCAUAAGACCCAGUCAGUAAUAUCCAUUUGCCGAAUCGCGCAGGGGCGACCGGAGUCGUCGCCCUUUUACGAUCUUCCAUAUGGUUCGAAUUUGCGAGAGCUCUUUCCGUCCGCGCCGACUUUCUUUUCUCGCCCCACCCCCUUUCCCUGCCUUUUCUUCUUCCAUUCAGAGAUUCGUCCCUAUAUGCUGUCAAGGCUGAAAUUCAACGCGUGUUGUUUGCAUUCGAAACUUGUAUCAUGUAGUUACGAAAAGAUACAUAAUACACAUGCCUUUUCAUAAUAUGUAAAUACAGUUUACGGAAAGGAAGAUAAAAUAUGUAAAUGUAUUUUGCAAAUGAAAAUUGCAAAACGCGUAUAUAUAUGUAUUUUGCGGAUGUAAAAUGUAAAAUGGGUAAUUAUCUUUCGUGGAUGAAAAUGUAAAACAGGUAAUUAUAUUUUGCGCGUAAAAUAUAAAAUUCGAAAACUCGUCUAACUCACGGAAAGAACAGUUAAUAUGUUAGGAGCAUGGAAAUCGUAUGUCGGAAAUUGGAUUAUGGAAAUUGGUUUCAACGCGGUAUCAACGUGGCAUUUGGGAAAUUUCUCUAUCUUUAUCCGCCGCAUGAUUCUUGCGGUGGAAAAAAUAGAAUAAAUUAGUUAUAUAUUAACGUGAAGAGAGAGGGAGAGAGAGAUAGAUAGAAAUGUUUUGUUUAAUUUAGAAGAUUUUAGAUUAGGACCUUGAUUAAUAUUUUGUAUGCGGUAUAGUUAUAUUAUAUUUGUCUUAUUUCAUUUGAUCAAUUAUUCCUGACAGUAUCUUGAUGAUUUAUAAAAAAAAAUAUAAUUAGUUUUCUCCGAAAUGAGUAAAAUUAUUUUAAAAUUUUAAUUUGCCGAGUUUAAAACAAGAUAUCAUUGAGAUUUGUGACAGUCUACGUUACAAAGAUUCAGUUAUAAUAUAUUCUUGGUAUUCAAUGCCGUUGCCAAGUGUUUUCUUGCCAAGAUACGUUGUCGCUCGUCGAUCUUUAGUAAAAAGUCAAUGUGAUUGCAAUUAGUAUAAUUGUAGAAUUGUAAAAUGUACAUUGAGAAUAAUCGCAAGUGUUUGGAUAAUACGUUUGUUCAUUUCAUUUCAACAAUUCUCAUGAUAUGCAACAGCUAUUUACUACUUAUCUUCUAGCGCUUUCUUAAUUAAAAAAUAAUUUUUUAAUAAAUUCUUGAGACAGAACUUCUCGAAUUAAACAUACAGGAUACUAACGCCAGUUAUAUUAGUCACAUCAAGGAUAUAUAGGUCAAGAGAAAUUGUACUUCAAGUUGUUGAUUAAUAUUACUAAUUUACAGACAUUAUCUCUUCCGGUUAGUACAUAGCUGCAUCCGAUAAAAUUAUUCCUAUCGCGGUGUACCCGCGAAUUAAUGCGAAAUUACGUAGCGCGCCACGCUUUACCUCGCCGAGCUUAAACGCGAUACCGCGAAAUGUUUUACUACCACGCUGUCACGUGUUAUGCCAGCUCGAGAACGAUUUCAAUGUGAAAACCGCAUUACGGUUUAGCUGCCCUCUUCCCAAAUGCUGCAAUAAAUAAAGAAGUUAUUGCACUAAACAAGUUCUCGCUUGAUUCCAUUUUUGUUUGUAACCUGAAGUAAAGUGCACCGAUAAAUAAGAAUAUGAGGAAAAACAAAUGGUCAUGUUUUUGUAGUAAUAAAUCUAUACGUAUGUGUCUAUAUAAUAAUAUAUUAUUAUAAUUAUAAAAUUACAAUUUCUUUAUUAUUGGAAAUUUUAACAGAUUGAAAAGCAUGAUUUUAUAUAGUAACUACAUUAUUAAUUAAAAAAAGAAAAUCAGACAUGAAGUAUCUUAUCGUGUCAUACCUUAUAAAAUUUGAACAUGGACGCAGAUUCACGGCGCGUGCUAUGUUACGCGCUACGUUAACCGUGGCGAGAUUUCAACGCGAAAGCUUCGUUAAACCUCGAAUCUGGCUGAUGCCGCAAAUGCCGGUCGUUUCGCGCGUUAUGUUCUUGUGCAUUUUCACGAUCGUCCGACACGAUAAGUCACUUUCUGUUUGUCGCAUCUGCGGCGAUUACGACUGCCACGUGUCUCGAAUUCUACGGAACAAUGUCGCGUAUCUGCGAGAGUGUAUCAGUCCGAUCCGGACUAUGUCUUCGAUGAUGGAAGCGCGCGUCUCGCGCGGUCCGCGAGUUCGUCGUGAUAUAGGAUUACGACACUUGGCUCUAUUGUUAGUGUAAUAAUUUUGAUGGAUUUACGGUCUUCCAGAAUUAAGCGUACUGGGGCUUUAAGUUAAAAUUACAACGUUGUUUUGGCAAAGUUGCGUUUAACUCUGAGGAACCGUAACGUACAUAUAUACAACUUGAGUUGUAAAAUUACAAUGUUGUAAUUCACACGGAAUUAACGCAAUGUAACUCCGACAUUGUAACAACAUUGCAAUUUUGAUAGAGUAACAAAGCGAUUAUUUUGUUGCCUUGUAUACAACGUAUCGUUAAUUAAAUAAUUUAAGCCUUGUCGAUUGUAUAUAUAUAUUUACAUUAUUUUUUUCGCUAAAAGAGAAAUACGUCCGUAUGGUCGCUACAUUUAGUGCCUGUGGCUGCAUUAGUGUAAACGACGAAGUCCGCAUGCAGAGUGAGAGCUUUAUAGUAAUGAAAUCUAGAUUCCGGUUAUCAGCCGUACGCGUAAUUCAACGCGUGCGUGCACACACGCGUCUGUUAUUAACGGAAAAAAAAGAGAAGCUAGAAAAUAGCGGAUAGAAAGUAGGGGGAUGUAACUAGGGAAGUAACAUGGCGCGGGUUUCCGAUGCAUUGCGCGUUUCGCGCAGGAUAUACAUCUCGUACAAUUUUUUUCUUUUUUUUUUUUACCCAUUUUCGUGAAUGUCGCACGGCAUUUGCAUUUUGCAUUUCGUGUACUUUAUGAUUUUUUCCGCGGUCGUACACCGCCACUGCCAACGCCACGCCACCGAAGCCAUGUACAUAACUUGCCUAUACAUAUAUAUCUAUAUGAGACGUAUAAAUAUAUAUUACACAAACACAUAAGGAUUGGAAGCGGCGUUUCGUACAUUUUGCUGGAUUUGAAUUUAAAUUUUCUAAAAUGAAAUAGGCGCCCGUGGUCGCGCGCCCUCUUCCGUCGCCCCGUCACCUUUGAGCCCGGCUCGAGGGCCGAUUUUAAUUUGUAAUCAGCGAUUUACAUCCCGCGGCAAUCCCGUGCUGCUCGGCUUUCGUCCUCGAGGACCGAGCUCACCUAUUUCGGGACAAGCGAGUUUGUAUCUAGUAUCGCGCUAGAAUUGACAUUUGGACCGGAAAGAGUCUGAUCUGAAGACGGAGAUCGAUGGUGAAUUGCAAAUUUGUUUGAUGCCAUCGAGUGCCUCGGAUUCGUUUAGGAUCGUGGGAGAGAACGCGGGUGCAGAAAGGAGCGCUGAGGAAGGAGCAGAAAACGCGAGGAGUCGACGCGCGAACAUUCCGCUAUUUCGCCCACGCGUGAUGCGACCACGUGUAACGCGUAUCACGUUUCCACGGCCGCAUUUGUGCACGACGCGCCUCCGCGCUGCGUCUGUUUACGCUCUAUCAUCGCGUUCACACGAUAUGAACGGGCGAGAACAGACGGAGCGUGUCGUGACAACUGGUGUACACGAUCUAAAUUAGCAAGUGAAAUAAUUCGUAACUUGGACUACUUAUUGUUUGAUUCUAGAGGCGCGAAAUGUUUUAGUGAAGAUGUUAAUUAAAAAGGUGAUCACGCGGAAAAGUAUCUCUUGGCUAAAGAGUUAAAUUUGACUUUGGGAAGAUGAGACGUUAGACUUUAAUUUUGUUCAAUAAUUAUUUGCAUAUAUACUUUUCAUUUAUUUUACCUUGGAUUAAUUAAAUGACAGAAUAAAAUUACGCCGUAUUUUCUGUAUUUUAAUUAAUUUUGCUUCACGAAACUAUUAACUCAUCGCAUCUCUCGGGUGUGAUGGCGGACAAGAAUGAGGUAUGUUUUACCGCUCUCUGUACGCAUCGAUCUUCGUUAAAUGAAAUGUAAAUCACGGCUACGGAAUCCCGAUGGCGGUGGUGAAUUUCUCCGAGAUUUUUCGAAAGCGCGAAACGUCUGCAGCCACGACUGCGAGUUCGUCUUCGUCGCGGGUGACGUUAUUAACCCGCAAGUAGCUGCCUCAUGAUAAAUCACGCCGUUGAUCGCGUCGCAGAGAAACGCCGUAAUAUCUCACGAGAAAAAGAGAAAGAGAGAGAGAGAGAAACAGAGAAAACCGUGUUGCCAAGUCCCUUGGCAAACGGCGCAUAGAGCAAGAAACAAUGAAAUAUAACGACGAGAUGCAGGGAGAAGUCGUAACACAUGAUGUACUAAUCAUUGCGAAUACUCGUACACGUAUAUACGAUACUCGCGAGCGUUUAUUUACAUUUGUAUAUGCUGUGAAGGAAGUAAAGCAGACGGAAUUGCAAAACGAUGCGUCGUCGCGUAACACUUGCGUAAAGAGGAAAUAAUUUUCUACCGAGUACUUUGUGCUCGCGCAGUCCAAUCGAUCACGAAUUUUAAGUGUGAUUCUAAAACGCUGGCGGUCUGCGAAUUGGCACCGGCGCGAGAUUGUCUCGUAGGCAUAGCGGUGACUGUAUCCCUCGUAAUAAUAUACCGUUCGGUGCAUAAAUCAGUGUCUAUUUUUGAACGGCGGCCAAAACUUUAUUCGGAUUUAUUCGACCGUUACAUCAACGAGAAUUUCCGCUCGCCGCGGCGCGACCCGCCGUUGGUGCAUAAUUACUGCUACGCGCGUCGAUUGUCGCGUAUUCGAGGAUAAAAAGGAAAUUGGCACGCUGAGAAUGUCACCAAUGACUCAGUAGAGUGCAUCUGUUCCAUUCGUUGUGAUGUUGUCAGGGCUAUUUUGAACGUGUGCUAGAUAAUUCAUCUAGAACUAAAAAAUAUCAAAUUUAAUAUAUAAUUGCUAUAAAAGAAACGAUCAAAGUAAUUGUAAAAUAUCUUAUGUAUGAAAUUGAAUUUUUAUUUUUACUUAAUUUUGUGUUUGAAAUAUUAAAUUACUAUAAGGAUUUGGAAUGUAUUUUGGAUAAAUUUACUUAUGAUAAAUUUACGAUGAAUUUGCGGAUAUAUAAACUUUAUGAAAUAUUUGAAUUAAAUAAUAUUCACUUAAUUCAGAUAAUUUACAGUACAUACUUUUCACAAGGCGAAAGAAAUCUAAUAAGGACAAUGAAAUAAGUGUGUACAGUCCGUUUGCAGUGACUUUAAUUUCACUUUCCUGAUUCUUGAUUUUCUCUAUUAAAAUUAUCUGCAAAAGAUUUUUGAUUGUUCAAAAUGAUAAGCGUAUUUACUUCUUUAAUCGAAGUAAAGACGCAAGCAAAUAACGCAAGUUCUUUAAUAAAACAAGCGUAUUUCACGGGGCGAUAAUACAUUCUUUGAAAUUAAUCCGAUACGUAACAGAUAAUAAACAACACAUUGUCGCUGUCCUCACGUUAAGUAUUUUCGCGGACGGUAAAUUGUUUGAAACUCGCGUUAGCGGCGAUGGCCACAGUGGGCGGCGUACGGCGAGCGGUAGUGUAAACAAGGACACCGCGCUGCCAUUCGGUCGUUGAUACUCGAGCCGUGAGGUAGCCGCGUAUGCCGCUGCAUCAUCAUUAUCUCUCGAAACGUAAGACGUUGCGACAAGUAUAUCGUCCGCGAGAAAUGCGAACGGUAAUUCCUCACGAAUGGUUAACGUUACUGCCAGUUCGCGUAGAUACAUUUCGAACGUGACGCGAGUCCCGCGAACGAGAUCGCUGGUACGACCGAUAUAUCGCGACUUUACUCGAGUGCCUGACUUCAAGUGGCACUUCAGUCGAUCGACCGGCGCGGGCGGGUGGCGACGAUCCGCGCGUUAACUCGCUUUCACUGUCCGUGCGAUUUAUUUGUCAUACGUUAUGUAUAUUUCAUAGUGUGAGGUACAGCGGGUCGUUACGUUCGCUUUGUCUCUGGGUAAGUUUAAGUCGCGUUAGUCCAUGGAAAAGAGACUCGAGCCGCCUCUGUGCGACGCGACAUUAAACUCUCGUUGGAACAUAACCCUAAAGCGCCCGUACGAGCGAGUGACUGCUGUUUGCCCGUGCUAUUAUCGUCCGCGAUUUAUUCGCGAUAUGUUAAGUAUUUCAUAGUAGCGGGCGACGUACACUUGCGUUUACGCGGUGAUCUUGUUUACAGUCGCGCGAUGGCGAAGCUCGAGGCCGACGACGGAUACAGCAGUUGUUACUGUUUCUUGAAACGUGAUCGCGACGAGGGUAUUGAACGAAGUUGAAACGAUACUUUUUCGGAUUACGAAAGCGAGUGCGAACGCGCGAAUCGUCUGAUCCUGUAAAUAAUUCGAGUACGGUAUCGAUAGUUCAAGCGAACUGCGUGUGUAUAACAGAGGUUAGGUUAGGUUAGGUUGUACGUGUUUUUCUUCGUUCACAGCGCGACGAGUUUAGCUUGUUACAACGUCACAUCGUAUCCGUUUUGGGCAAUACCCAUCGUGUCUGUUGUCAUCAGUGCGUGAUUCGCGAGUCUUUUUGCGUUUUCGCAAGUGAGUAGUGAACGAGUGCCAUGAAGGGACAACAGGAAACCGUGAAACCCGAGAGGAAGCGGAGGUUCUGGGAAGCAUCGGGCGACAGCGGAGCAACCAUGGGUUCGACGUGACUGGCGUUAAAACUCCGCUGCUGCACAUCGUAACUGUGAGUUGACAAAUUGCUUUUUAUUUUAACUUUACUUGAGUGAUAAUAAAUCUGUGAUAUUUGCGUAUGUAUCAGACGUGUACAAUAUAAGAUGAAUAUAAAUAUAUGUAUAUGCAUAAAGAGAAACAUUGUAAUUUAAACAGAAAACCUUAUAGAUAUAUUGCUUUUAAUUGCUUUACAAUCGAAUAAAACAGUAGAAAUUAAUAUCACUUGAAUUGUGGAACAGUAACAAACGCGUUUAUAGAUUGUAAAAAUUCUACGUGAUUCUAGGCUAACUUUAAAUGCUUUUAAUUUGGAAAUUACUUGCGACUUCAACAUUAUACAAGUUUCAUAUGUAAUUAUAUAAUUUUCUAAAUAUUCUAAUAUUACAUGAUAGAGUAAGGAUAAAAUUCUUUGUUAACUGUAGAGUGCUACUCAUAUUUUUCUGAUAUUAAUACUACUCUGGGUAAAAAUUCACCCACAUAAUUAAGAAUUUUUUUACAAUUUUAAGAAUAAAAAAUGUUUCCCCAUUUUAUUGCAAGAUGUUAGAAUAACUGAACAUGAUACCAUUUUGAUAAAAAUUUUACUAAAUAUUAUUUUAGACUAUUAAAAUUUUAAUAACAUAAACUUUAUUAAACUUGAAUUAGCACCUGGAUAAAAAUUCAUCCGUGGUGACAUUAUGAGGUUAAUAAAUUUGCACUUUCUUUAAAAAAAUUUUUUCUUAAAAUUUAUGGAUAUUUAUUUUUCGACCUAGGCAAACUCCACCGCAGCCAAAAUUUUUACAUACAUUUUUCGAUUCCAAAAAAUAAAUCAUAGGGAGAAUCGCCGUUGUUGUAGGCAAAGAGAUUCGGUUGAUAUAAAUCGCAGUUAUUCCGAUGAAUAGUUUCCGCGAGCUCGCGAAACGCGCAUUCCCAAUGUUUUCGGUCGUGCAUUCUACAGUUUCCGCGAUCGAUGAGGGUAUCGCUGCCGCAUCCCGCUGUUGUUCCGCGAAUAAAUCCUUCUCGCGAGUUACAAUGCAAAGGUAAUAUGAAACUCAUUAUCUAGGAAACUCGAAACUCGUGAAUUAAAAGCUAUUUUGCAGAGUAAUUUGAUACGAUUCAUUGUCGAUUACGGGCAAUUAACUGAGGGCGAAGAAAGACACGCGGAUCAGGACAUCUGUAUUCAUAAUGCGUAAUUAAGAUAUUUAUUAUGCAAAAUGCUAUCAUGCAACGAUAAACAUGGAAUUAAAAAAUCUAUAUUGCAGUGAGAAUUACGCGGAAGCCACAGCGUGCUCGUAUUUUAAAUGAAUAUUUGAAUAGACUUUACGUGAAUCUCGCGUUUUUCAUUUCGACGUUUGUAGAUGGAGGAUCGUAUUCGACUUGGCGUAUCCCGCGAUGAAAAAUUUUGCAGGCAGCACAUGUUGCUGGUACGAUGCGUUUAAUAGCCUUCAUUAUGAUCGGUGCGAUGAUGAAGAGGGGAAUAAAAAAACUGAUGUUUUUCGCGGCCGAUAGAUAAUCAAUUUGUUCGUUCGCGUUUCUGCUUAGUUCCUGUAGCUCGUGCGUUUCGCUCGGGAUACCUUAGAAAAAUAUUCCCCGAAUAUCGUGAAAACAUCGUUUAUUGAUAAUUAUACGAAAUUCUGUUAUAACAACGGCGAGAAUAAUUGGUAUCUUAAUUUCAUUUUAAUAUACUUAGCACACAAUUCUACUAUUAUAAAAUUUCUUAUACAGUAAAAAGACUUACAUUUAAUUUUAAUUUUAAUUAUAAUUGUCUUGGUUCGUAUUUAAUGUGUAGUCAAAAUGUUUUUUUAUUUUCGAUGCAGCUGUUUUAAUUGCGAAAUGAGAGCCCUUCUCCCCGUUAGUUAGUCUUGUUUGUUUACUUGGCAUGCAUCUAUUUACUUUUGUUUAUAUUGCCGAUAGUUGUCUUCCCCGUUACUUUACCAAUUUACCCUGUAUAUUCGCGCUUUUGUGUACUAUCCCCAGGAAUGUUGUUAAAGACGUUGUCAUCGUGUAAAGUUUCCCCUGAAAUGCUCCAAGUUGCGAGUUAAUAUUUUUUUAAGUGCAUAACGACAGUCGGACGAUAAAUAUUUAUCGCUCCGUUUCAUUAGCGUAAAAUUAAAAAGUUACGCGGACCGACGCGGAAAUUGGCUUUGCAUGGAAGCGAUUGCGGUAACAAUUUCUUAUCAGACUAAUAAUUACUAAUUCCGUAAAAUCUUUUUUGUCUAAUGCAACUACUAAUUGAAACUCUAAUAUUAUGCAACGUUCGAGGGAUUUAUGAAAUUAGCUUUAUAAAACUGUGAAAUUUAUAAACGUUCGAGUUUUGCAAUCGAUAUCUAAUAAUAGCCUCGUUUAUAUGGCUGAUAGUUAAAUGACUACAAUAAUUAAACCGGCAAUAAUUAACCAAUAAUUAAAAUUAAAAUUGAUAAGCCGGUUAAAUUACUAUGUUUGCGUGUAUGCGCUAAAAGCGACGGCAAAGCGAUCGAUCGCGCCCGACCUAGCGCGCGCGCGGGGCCCAGUCAGUUGGCCUUUCCAAACGCGCGCAAUCGCCGAUCGUCGCUCGCAAUGGAAACUCAAUUUUUAACGCCGCCGGCAAAAUCCGAUCGUCCGCGUCGGACGUAUUAAUUUCGCGGCGCGAUAUACGCUCGUAUAGGUAAAUCACGUUUAAUCGAAAUACGAAGGGCCGUGACUUCGGUCGGGUUCGUGACGCUCGUGCCGCCAGCUCGAGUGUAUAUUUGCACGGCCGCGAUAUCGCUACGCGACCUCUCGACAGUUUUAAGCCCGGAUUUCCAGCGAUAAGUAAUAACGAGGACCGCGUUUGCUCGAAGAUUAUUGAGUUAUGAGACCGCCGGACGAGUGUCGAAUCCGAGAGCGAAGCUUUAGGGAUCGUUGUUUCUGCAUGUCGCAUCGUCGAAAGCGAUUCGAGAUCCGGAAAUGAACGUGUCACGAGCAAUUCUACAUUCUUUUCGUUAUCGGGAGGAGGGAACGGGAUACGCGAGGAAGGAUAAGGAAAGGAACAAGUUAAAAUGCUAAUGCAAUAACAAUUAAAUAGCGGACGUAACUGUACGCGUUAACAACGAGAAAAUUGGAAUGGCCGACGCUGCAACGUGAAAAUUAUCUGCCGUGGAAAACACGAUGAAAAUGGCAUUAUUUCUCUAUAGCCACAAUCUGCGACAUAGUUUUUUGUCCGUGUGCUUUAUAUUAGCUGCGCAUUAUAACUUCGAACGCGAUAAAAACCGAAUUUUGAUCCCACGUAAUACGGAAUUAGCGAAGCGAUGAAUUUUUUAAAUAUCUUUGUAGGGCAAAUAUUUUUUGGUUUCGAUCAGUAUUGCAAAAUUUUAUAUAUGAAGAUUAUCUCAUAUUUUAUAUUAUUAAUAAUCGAAAUAUAAUACGGUAAUACCGUAUUUUAGAUUAAUAAAGACUUAUUAAUGUUUUUGCAAAAUGGCUGUCUGAAAUAUUUACACGUAAUCAAUUGCAUUAUUCGUUGACAUAUUUAGUAAACAAAUAUUUAAAAAGUCUAUGUAUAAUCACAACUAUGUCGAUCUAGUCUGUCACAUCAGACGGUCGUAAAAAUAAAAUGCAUUUGGAAAUAACCCGCAGCAAUAACCGAGUUCGCGUAGAUUCUCCGUAAGCUUAAUCUCGAGCUUAAUUUCGUUUCCGGUAUGGAACGAUCGUAUCUUAAGACGUCUUGUGUCUCCCCCAUUGAAGACGUAUAGCCAUCGCGUAGCGCCAUUAAUUUAAUAUUUCAAAGGAGCGAUAUCAUUCCGUUAAAAGUAAUCGCUUCAAUUUCUUAAAGUGCUUGAAAUCUAAGAAAUAUUGGACUCAACCCACUUCCCGAGCCGUUUUCGAAGAAAGUAGUUCCGCCACUAUUUUCCGGAAAUGAGACACACACACGACAUUCUUUUAGUGUCCAAUGAUGAAUUGAAAGCAUUACAUGUGUGGCGUUUUGGGGAAGUAAUGGCCACUCUUUCCGUCUAAAUUCAUCACGUUUAAUAACAAUUAAUCUUUGAAUUAAAAUAUAUAAAUUGCGGAACAGCUAAUUUCCGCGAAUCUCACUACCGUCACCCGAGUAAUCAACUUGCAAUUCUCGUAAUUAAGCCGCGCCUGCCAAAUAUGCCCGCGGAUUCACGCCAGCUCUCGUCUCGCGUGACGCGCGAAAUAUGCGCUUGCCGAAUUUCGCGUGAUGUCGACUCUCUUCGUGCUUUCCCCGUGGGAGACGUAAUGUGUUUUUCUUGGAUCGUCUUAGAGCGACGGGGCGAGGUGUAUUCUUCGCGACACGCGCGAUCGACGUAGCCGAGGCGAGCGGAGUGCGGCGAUGGUAUCGCGAUACAACAACAACAACGGCGGCGGCUUCUUUCUCGGCCGGCCAAAUCUCCUCUCGUGUAGAAGACACUCGGUGCAAGGAUGCGCCGAGUUACGGCACGAUGUGGUAACCCCACGUCACGACCUCGUGCCAAGAAUUGAGUCACCACGUCGGGCGCCUGUCUCUCCCCCUUGCUCCCCUUCCUCUUUCCUCGCCUCGUGUGUCUCUUUUGUUCAUCGCAUACGUGUAUUUUCGAAGCCCGUCAUCUUUCAACUUAGAUGUAUACGUUACUAAUUAGUGAGUUUCACUUCUCUUGAGAACCAUUUAUCAUUUAUUAAUAAGGUGUACCUUUGUUUUUAUUUAGAUUAAUGAUUUUUGUCAUUUAUGUACAUUAUCGCCAUUAAUAGAAUAUUAAAUUGAAUAGACUAGACAAUACAUGGUCGUGAUAGUCGCUUAAAUUAAAUUAACGCAAGUUGAAAGACAGAGAAUAAAUGAAAGAACAAAAUUAAUUCCUUGAGAUUGGAGGCCGCCAAGUCCCAAGUCAUUCUAUUGAUAGAACGUAUAUUGUAUGUCAAUACACGACUACAAAGUAUUAAAAAACGUUGCUUCGGACCACGGCGUUUAUUAAAUGAAACAAUGGGAAUGUUUAUAAGGGCCAUUCCCUUUCAAAGUUACGAAAAUGAUCGGUGCAUAAUGCCCGCCUCGUUGUGUCACGAAUUAUCGCAUCUUGCCUCCCCCCCCCCUCUCUCUCUCUCGCUUGCUUUCUCUCUAUGAUCCACGUCGAAAGUCGUGCUUGUAGGCGACACGCGACUAAGAUUCAUGGGGUCGGCGUCGAAAGCACGAGCUUACGUCUGGUUUGUGCCGAGUCGCGACUACUCGCCGAGCGGGAAUCCGGUCGGCGCGGCUGACGUGGACAAACGAGCCCUCGUUACAAUAAAGUUACGGGUAAAGGGAGGGGGGGGGGGACGUAAGACGCCAACGACAUUGAGGACGAAAACGUGAAAAACGAGAACUCAUUCUUCCGGGCUCGCGGAAUUUGCUCGGACUCGUCAGAAACGCGCCGGGGGCGAUGUUCGUUUCGCAUUAAAUUUACUGUUCGCGUACACGGCGGAGCUGCCCCCGCGGCAGCGUAUACGAGGCAAUUAAGUCGCGGGUAUGCUUUUGAAAAUGAUACUUCGCCGCGCGAUCGAUAUUAUGCACUACGCGAAUUCGCGUUUGUUUGUCGAAAAGCUCGUCACUGUUCUUGUGCUUUUGUAAAAAAAAUUAUUGAGUACCCUUUCUUUCUCCCGCGUUAUUAACAUUAAUUAUGCUUUCAAGCAGCCGCGUAGCAUUCGCGUUGUUUUCUCAUGGAACUCGAGAAUUUGCGGAACAUCCGAGCGUCACCGCCUUCGCAUGAUCCCAGGGUCGAGGCUGGCCGCUAAAUUACGUCGCGCGAUUCUUUUUUUUUUUCGUCUCGUGACGGCUUUUAAAGUUGCGCAAAUUUUUAACCGCAUUUACGUCGCGAGCGGCAAAUUACAGUGCAAUUAUAAAGGUAUUUAAAGUGCAUGAAUCACCUUCCCGAACGUUUCGCACGCUCUCGAUUAACGACUUUACAUUUAACGUGCGUCUCUUAAGUAUUCCUUAGUGUUGCACUUUGUGCAGUACAGUCGGGAUUUCUAAUAAAAAAUAAUUUGUCUUUGUUCUUUUCAUGAGCGCAUGUACAUUCUUUUCUUAAUGCGCAAGCAUCGCGAAUGCUGAUUGACGUCUGUUUGAGCGUCAAGUGACCGCUGCAAAUGUAUUCAUUCCCGUUUGUAUAAUAGAUGGACAUUUUAAAGAAACUGAGAUUUUUAGUUCUCAUGCGGAUACAAAUCUUCAUUUGCGUAAGUCGUCUUGUGUAUUUAUCGAUAGUUCAUUGCUGUCUAUCCCUUUUCUUAGCUAAAUAAUAAUACGUUUACGAUAGAUUACGAAAUCGAUCAAAUUAACAUGCUGUUAUAAAAUAGAUUUUAAGAUUUUUUAAAUAGUGUAGGAUAAUAUUCUUCUAUUCAAAGAUCUGAAGGUUUGACACAAAUGCAAUUUACAUACGCAAUUUCUUUGACGACUAAAAAACAAACAAUCAAAACCAUAAAAUUUAUUUUACUUUUAUUAUUAAUAAAAUAAUCAGGCUUCGUACAAAGGCGAGAAAUCCUAUGUUUAAAGAAAGCUCUGAGCAAAGAAAAGCAUAAGGGAGGAGAAAGAACCACCUCGAGUCGUGGGGCGUGAAAAGAGCACGAUGAGAAAAAGGGAUUUUCCUCUUUCUCGAGGCUAUUCUAAACAGAGAGACCACCGAGGACAGCGGAAACGCUGUCGUGGGUACAGAAGGGAGACGCCUAGACCCGUCGAUUGAAUAUUUUUACAUGUAUGAGAUUUUUAUUCUCGCGAUGCGAUUGGCCGAAUCGCGUUUUAUCUCGCUCUACAUCCCCGCGUCUCGCCCUCUCGCGUAAAGCAAGGGUGAAAAAAUUCUAGAUCCUUUGACUGUAAAAGAAGGAUGCGCCACUUGGUUCCGGAAAGAAAUGCUCGACGAUUUACACUUUGCUCCGCAAAAGAGGACGAUCGUUGAGGAUAUUUUUUUCAUAUUAUCGAAUCCCGCGCGACUUGCACUUGAUUGUUGUUGUUUACAUCAGUUGCAUUCAAUUUUGUGUAACAUGCAAUUAUUAAACAUGAAAUCAUAAAGAUAUCAAUGACGUAACGAUACAAAGGAUUCUUUUGCAGAGAUAUUUCAGAGAAAUGCGACUUAGGAAUGUCUGUUUUACAGACUUCUUUCUGUUCUUAAAUAAUUUCUCAGAGUUCAAGUACACGUCUUAUUGUUCUCAUCGCUAUCUUGCGCGCAACAUCGCGUAGUGAGACGCUUUGCUCGAUAAAAGCACGACAAAUAUAAUAUCCAGCAAUCCGCACGCGUGUCGUGUGUUCUCUAGUAUUCUCUAUUUACGGUGACAUUUGACGUUAAGCGUUUUAUAAGUUCGCGAUUGCGGAAAACGGGAGGCAUCGUGUUCCACUUCCUCCUAGAAACGUAUCCUUCAGGCGCAGGUCAUAGUACGCGUAACCUCGGUCUCCGUUUUCGCUCGUUUUUCCUCCCUCGGGUACCUCUUUCCUGCCUCCCGCCUCUCCCGCACCCCCGAGAAUCUCGUCGCGCCCCGCGCUCUACCGCCUCGCCACUCGUUGCGAGGAUUAUUGAAUUUCCUGUCAUUUCCAGAAGAAAUACGCUCUAUUUACUUUGGCGGGGUAUGAGGGUAGUUUUAUUCGGUGCGGAUGUGUGAGAGAAAUAAGAAAUACACGAAGGAGAGCCGCAACGAAUCAACGGCGGCGGUCUUUCCAUCUCGACACCGCGGCAAUUCAAUGGGCUUGGCGUAUUGGUGUCGGCGAUGAUAACGCUCGCGGAAUUGCGAAAACCGCGUCAGAUAAGAAGUCGAACGGCAUUUCCCCGCUGGAGAUACCAAUCUUCAAGUUUCGCGCGAGACGAAUAUUAUUUUUCAUAAUUAAUGAAACCUGGGGAGACAGUGAUGCUACUUUUUCGGACCCGAGGAACGAAAAUAAUAAUUUUUCUUUACGAAAGAAGUUUAGACGUGCAAACCGCAAAGCGUGCCAACAUUAGUCGUUUCAGUUUUCCGAGAUAUCGAUACAGUUGCCGAAACGUCCCGCCUCAUACAUGUAACCGACUCCCACGACGGACGUUUCUCAAAAAGCCGAGAUAUCGCGGCACAUAAUGGCGCUUUACGUCCAAAGUUUACGCUCUCCUCUCUUUCUCCUGCUCUUUCUCCUCCGCCUUCUUCCCCGGGACGUGAUUGCAAUAUUCCUCAUGGGUGUCGGACGCGGUAGGGAACGAUCUGGCACACUCGCGUAUAUGACAAGAAAGGGUCAGGAAGAGGGCGCGAGAGGGUCCUCCUUCCCUUUCUCCGUCUUGCCGCUGUCACUGAGCACGAAAUUCGUCCUUUGCCCUCCCCCUCUCGUCCGUCACCUUCCGCAUAUUCCGACCGGAAGUGGGAAGCACGAAUCCCUCCGCCGCGAUUCGGAGCACGUACGAGGAAUUUAUUCGCGCGGAGGCAGGUCGCGUAUGUCGCCCAUGCUCAUCUCCGUCCGAAUUUCCGGGUCCUCUCCCUUUCGAGUUUUGCCGGUUUUGACGCGAUAUGCGGCCUCUCUCUCUUUCUCUCUUUCUCUUCUUGCUGACUUGUCCGUCGACUUUUGCUUCCCAGUCUCUAUACUUUAUCAUCGAACUUCGAUGAAACUUGCCUUAACUCUCUUCCUUUUUCUGCUUCUCCUUGCCGAUCGAUCGAUGGAUAUUUAAACGCACCAGCUUAUCGAAAUACCGCGCCUUCCUUGGGGCAUCUGAAAACCGUUAACUCUCUUCAGAAGGACGAGACAUCGUUAAUAUCUUUCCUAUAAUCCAGCGAUUUUGCCCAUUAUAUUGAAUGAAUUGUCCUCUUUCGUACGUUUACCGAAGACAGCUUUUUAGCAUUUAAGUCGUUGACGAAUAUUUGUAUUAUAAAUGAUGAUCCUUUUUAGAAAUGACUCAAAUGUGAUUGAAACGAGAUUUUAGAGAUAUAAAAAUAAAGGCGCAAAAUAGAUGUCAUAAAUUAUCGUUUAAAAUAAACUUGAUACGUUUAAGGAUUUUCAAAAAUUAUUAUGUAUUUCAGAAAACGAGAUUUGCACGUAUAUUACUUUUUUAUUGAAAAGAUAGAAAAGAAAGGAUUUUUUUUCUACACGAUUCCGGAAAAUUGGUACAAACUUUGCAUUUCUAUUUCGCAUUUCUGUUUUAUAUGCAAUCGAUACUUUCCCCACCACUAGCCGGUACAGUAUGUCGCCCUUCGCUAGGUACGACAUUAAUCGAUAGGUAUCUCAUAGUUACACGACAUAUCUCUAUCCGACGCGGAAAAUUACGGCACGGCGGACGUUUUACUACAAUACCGAAUAACGCGAAUGAUUUAUCAGCGGCGCGCACACAUAUCGGGAAGUUAUUGCCGGGCACAUUCGUAAAUGUAUGCUAAUGGCCGUCGUCGAAACGCCUAUGAUUUUUCGGUUUGCUACGUGCGUGGCGUUGCCUAUAUUUCAGCUCGACGCGUUAUAUUUUACAUGCACGAUGUUCUUUUUUUUUUCGUGCUUGUUUUCCGAAUGAGAUUCGAUGUUACGCUCGGGGGCGAGGACGGAGUCAGAUCUAUCGAGAGAAGACACGGGAUCGAUGUUUCAAUUUGCACGGAACAGAACAAACAAGCGCUCGAUCACGAUUUUUUAAGUACCGCAGGGAAUUUGGCUCUUGGCCGCGUCUCUUAAAGUUGGGAAGAUGCCCGACGUGCCACGCGAUUUUCAUAAAUUUAUGAAAUACAAUCGUGGAAAGCGUGACUAACGAUAUUUACGGUUAUUACCGAUAUUAUCAAAUUUAUUUGUUUUUGGUAUUGAAUUUGUUUGGCAUUGAUAUUUGCUAAAUUUACAAAUAACGAGAUUUAAUAUAUAAUUCUAUAUGUAUAUAUAUAUCAUGAAUUCUAAAAAUAAUUUCAUACUUUACAAUAUAAAGUUUCUUUUUUUCGAUUAUAAAAUGCUUAUAAAAAUGCUCGUUAUUUCGUCGUUAAAUUAAUCAUCUUCAAUUAAUUUUUUCGAACGAGACGGAGUAGUAAUUAAAGUAUUCUGUUGCAACGGAGAUCGUUUACGUAACUACUGAAAAGUUCUCGAGAUAUUACGAAACGUUAUUAACGAUGACGAGAGAUAUCGAGAUCUGAAAUCGAAAAUCAAAGUAUUUUCGUUCGCUCGACAAGUCUUUUAUUUUGACGAUAGAACCGACGGAGAAACGGGUGCUUGCCGCCAAAUCGUGCGAAAAGAUAAAGUCAUAGCUUUCUUCAGUAACGAGCAGGAUUACUUUUUUUCUCGUAGUUUUGCCUCUGAGAAGCAGUUAACAACUCGCCGUUUUCACUGUAUUUUGCCUGCUAUUUACGUUGAAUAAAUUCUAAAGUGCAAAGAGACAAUGUGAGUCAUUAGCGAAACAUGCUUUAUCUCUCGUUAUUCGAUCCAAUACAGUUAUCUGUUUCUAAUUAUUAUUGCACCAUAUUCUGUUGUGUUGUUCAAAUAUAUUAUUCACAAGAUAUAUUAAAAUUGAUCGAGUGUGGUGGAUAGUUGUAUUCAACUUUAUGAUAUAUCUUUUUAUAGAAGUAGUAUUCUGUCGAAAAUGUCGAGGAAACCUCACAGAAGUCAGUUCUCUGUAUAGACGUAUACUUGUAAGGGCAUUUACGCCAUACGUUGCAUUAUACAGAGACUGAUAUACCAAGAUAUCUCUCUGCUUCGGCGAACAGCUGGUGUAACCAUUUCACGCGCCUCGUUCUUCUCGCCGUAUGCCAGAAUAGCGUAUAACUUCGUAGUUUCUUCGAGAAAAGAUGAAGUAGCGUAUACACGCGGUUCUCGUAGCCCUCAUAUGUCCUUCAGUGCCACGUGUCUCGCUUAACUUUAUGGCUCAUGACACAUGCAUGCGGAUAAUCUGUACCGCUUUCAAAUUCGCAACACUUGGAAACGUAUAAUUCACAUUUAUUUGGCAAAUGAAAAAGGGAGGGAGUUAAUGUUUAUCCCAUUAUUUCCGAUAUUUUACGCUUUGACAUUUACCGCUGUAAUUAGAUCUUUGUUCGAUUAUUAUUGUUGUGUAAAAGGAAUGAUUUACGUAGGUAAAAUGUCAUCCGAUAAUUUUACACAAAAUCUAUCUGUGAUAUGAAUUAUAUUACUAUUUUAUUAUUUCUCUGGAAAGCAAAGGUCAAAGGCUAAUAUUUCAUUUAACAUUUCUCUCUGAGCACCGUUUGCUGGCCGCCUCGCGUUGCUGAUUGAGAACUGUAAACGUACGACGUGAAUUUUUGAUGUAUGGUAGACGAGAAGAGGAAACAGGUUGAAACAACCUGGGAAGUCUCGCAAACGUUAAUGUGCGCCUUUACACGCCGCUUAACGUGAAUCAGCAGUUCUCACUUCAUGAUUGCGCGUUUAGUUUUGUUCACGUACGCGAAUUAUCGGCGACGCCGUUUAGAAAUUUUCCAGCUGGUGUCGAGCGAAAGAUGCAUCAUCAAAAAUGUUUUCUUAAAUAAAGCAUCAGAGAGAAAUGAGAGAACUUUGUAAUAAAAAUAAAAACAUAAUAAUUCGAAAGUUAGAACUAAAGUCGUUGCUAAUUUAGAUAAUUUAAAAAAGAUAAUACUUCUUUUUUAUCAAAGAUAAAGAUGGAAAUAAUUUAUACAUUUUUUUCCUUUAAUAAUACAUAAAAUAAGAUUAAGAUAAAGUCAUUUUUUAUUUAGAUAAUUUUAUGACCAUAGCAAACACUGAUCGUAUCACGUAUUGCAUUAUUACCAUUAUCAAACAUAGUGAUGUUACGUUGAAAGGUCAUUUAUCAACAGUAUUCAAUCAAUCUCCACUGAUCGUCUCAUCGCGUGUCUCGUGGCGCGUAAUAGAAAUACAUUUUGGAAUCGAUACGGCAACGAGACAUAUCUCGCGUCCCGCAAUACCUUUAGCGCAAUACCUCCGCUCACGUUACAGAGUUCUCGAUGAAAAUCGCGUGAACAAAACUUUGUUCACGCAACCUGGAGUCUCGCCGUCGGGACUUUCUUACGGGCUCCUUCGCGGUAAUAGUUUCGCGCAACUAAUUUCCAGCGUGUUUCCGCGCGCGCCAUUACGACACCUUAUUUAUGCGUGUACGUCCAUGGUGUGCGGUAUCUAUCUUCCCAUCGUACAGCAUCUUCUCGCGCUCGUCUUGUUCCUUCUGGUUUCUUCGCUCGCGGAACAUCGAUCGUCAUGCGGCUAUGUAGGCGCUUUAGAAACGUCGAACAUUACAUUAGCGUGUUCUGCCUUUGCGUGAGUCAUUUGAAUUGAAGCCGAUAUUUAGAAUGAAAUACCAGUAUCUUGAUCCCGCGAUAUGUUAUUUAACAUUUUUAUAUUUUAUUUUAUGUUAUUUACUUGAAAAAAAAAAGAUUAUUGGGGUAGGUCGGAGUACGACAAGUUUCUCUUUCCAUUCAGUUUCCGCUUACUGUUUCGUUUGCAUGCAUCUUUUCUCAAUGAUUGCUCUUUCCUCGGUCGUAUCUCGUCUCUCAACGUCGGAUGUAUCUCUUUAGUAGAAUAUUGUACGAUUUCCCGCGUCGGCAAAAGUAUACGCCAUAAUAAACGUUACGUGAGAGAUGAAAGGUAGCGCUGAGAGGGAUUCUUUCGGCUGCAGGAUGUUUGACGCCCACAUAUCUCGACGAUGGAUUCCCGGAUCCAUCCUCGCUGCGAGGGAAACGUCGCGCAGAUAACAGGCUUGUGUGCGAGGGUGGCCGGGUCGGGAUGAUGCCGCGGCAUCGGAAACAGCGGGAACGAGAGAGAAAGGCAUUCUAACGCGUCGGGUAUACGACGCUAUUAUUUACGCUAGAGCCGGAAGAAAUAUUACAUUUUCAAACCACCCUCUCUUUCUCCUCCCUUUUCUAUCCUUUCUCCUCUGUCCUCCUCCUCCGCACACUCGCGUUUCCCUCCUCUGCCACCGAUCUGAUCUCCUCCUCCGCGCUCUCGUUUACUUCCCAUCUUUCCGGCUCCACGGCGCGCGGAAGGAAGGCAGAGAGCCGCAGUUGAGGUGUGCGCGCCGCUCUCUUCAUUACCAUUUAUAGUGAUUCCUGAACCACUCUCGGAACGCUCGCGCAAACGUAAAAACGCGUGCCCGCGAAUUGAUAUACGCUAGCCCGCGGAAUCAGCAGCCGGUGUCUACCGUGUGCCCUUCUUUAUCGGAUCUUCUCCUCCCCUUUUCUCAUCUUCGGUUCGCCGUCGCCUACGCUGGUGGACGUUACAUUAGCGCAUGCAUCACCCGUUUAACGAUUUCUGUUCUCGGAACAACGUUAAAUAUUCCGAUCAAUUAACUGACGGCCGCGCGCGUAUUCUUUAUAUUUUUAUGCCGGCAAAUGGAUGGAUCGUCCAGAAUGGAAUGCAAUCGAUAAUCAACGAACAUUCGACAACCAUCUAUACCGUCGUAAUAUUUUGUGGCGCGCUAUGGCGCUGUGAAAAACUACGGAAAUGUGCAGCGCGCUGCAUAUUUACCUUCGAAAAUUUAUUUAACGCAACAAUAAAAAAAAACGUUUAUAUUUAUAAACGUAGUGUGCUUUGAUUUUGCGCGCGCUGUGUUUUACGCUGGAAAAAAAAAACAAAUUCGGAGAGAAAUUUGCAAUUUUAAUGAAAACUCUAUACGUGCGCGACCGUGAAUAAACAAAUUUCAAUAACGUCGCGCGUAGCGUCUCGCGUGUACUUAAACGUCUUGCACGACCGCAAAAAGUCUUUCUAUUACAUCGAGAUCACGACACGCCAGCCCCCUUUUCUCGGACUUGUUCGGCAUCAAUUUGUACAUUUCCCGGUUUCUUACGCCGCUUCUUCUCUCAAGGAAACAGGGACCGGCGCGAGGAGACACGUGUAAUGCCUGGCAUCGUCUCGCGGUGACAACCGUGACGGAGUACGUUUUACCCGGGGCCGUCCCGUUUUUCGAAAGCUUGCUCGUUUCACCUCGCCACUUGGCUUCCCUGACCGAUGCUGUUAUACUCCACCGAAUUGCAACGCCGGAUGCAAUCAGCUUUAUAAUUCGGACGCGACGUAGAGUCGCGUUUACCCUUCGGCUGACGUUAUUCUGCCGCGGGUAAUCGUUAGCGACGAUGAUGCUACAAUGUGAAAUCGCAUGAUAGCCGCUUCGUUAUUUGAAACUUUUACAAACAACACGAGAAUUACGCCAUAAAAAAAAUGUAUCUCUGAAGAUACAAUUAUAAAGGGUAUUAUCCAAAAAUUAAGCAGAAAUUAUUAAAAUUAGAAUUGACAUUAAGCCAAGCAAGUAAUAUUAAUAUUAUAUUAUAGCGUCUCAAAUGAGUUUUCUAAUUUCGUGGUUAUUUCUCAACAAGAUUGUAGAAUUAUAUAACUAGUUGAUCUUGUGAGACUACUUCUUCAGUUAAGAUUUCUUAAUCAAACUAGUUAAGUAUAAUUGAACUUCGUUUCACGAGGACAACUCUGAUUAGAAUAGAUCCUUCUGGAAGAGAGAAAUUUUGCUAUUAGGAUCAUUUCAGGAAUACAUCGCCGCAUUUCCACGCGUAUAUCUUCGCGUUUAUCUCAUUUUUUCGCGCAGGCUUUUAUUUUUUUCUUAUUUUCCCUCAAAUGGCCAGCCGAAAACGAACCCGCAUCAAACGAAUCGUUUCCCCCCACUUUUGCCGUGACGUUUCCCAGCAUUUCGCUUUUCCUCUCACGGAGAACCUGACGCGGUGCUUUUUCUUUCUCAUCUACCGUGGAAUGUUAACGACUUUCGAACGAUAACGCCGUGACUCCACUUAAACGAUUCUCUCGGCGCUUAACGAGUCCUCGUGCCGUGGCUUAAGGGAAUGAUUAACGAAUGCAAAUAAUACAAACAUUGCGAGCCGAACGGACGCGCAGUCGUUAGUCGAAUAAACGACAGAAGGCACUUUUCCUGUUAAUGUGCGAGGAGAGAAGUAACUGGUUGUUACAGCUACGAUCAGAUUUAUGAAGGCAAUCAUCAUAAAGAUGCUUCCGUAUCAAUAACGAGAAAUGAAUUCGUAAUCAUUUUGCGAUGGGUGUAUCAGUGAAUAAUCAGUUACUGUGAAAUGAUUAAAUUUAUAAUUAUCUCUGUAAAACAAUGUCACAUAAAGCAAUGCAAUUGUAGUUUUUAAAAAAAUGAGAAGAAGCUAUUCUAUUGUUCAUUAGUGAUAGAUGUUGUUUACUGUAGUGCUUUAUAAUAAUUUAUUAACUUUGGUAGUUCCAUUAACGUUUCUGCCCAUUCGACAGGCUCGGUCACCAUGGCGAUGAUGGAGAUUCUCGCGAUUGUUUUUGCGACGGUGAAUGCGCCGAACCGCGGAUUUUAAACACGCCAUUACGCAAAUUAACUUUUACAUCGCCGACGCCUACGAGAAUUGUGACAAAGGGAAACAGAAGAGAGAAAGAGAAGCGAGACGGCUCUUGGCUCGACGCCAGAAGUUUACUUGCCCUGGAUGUUUUCGCAUUCGUCGCCUUCAAAUUCGAUGCGUAUAUACAUUAUCUUCGUUUCUCCUCUCGCGUCGUCGGAUCUCGUCUGUAAAAAUUUAUUAAGCAUUUAACCGUCACAUUUUUAACAACUUUGUCUCAUAUUGACCCUGACAGAAAUUACGUAAAAUAUAAUGGAGCCUUAUAUUUUACGUAAAACAUGCGAAACUUGCAUCGAGAUGCCGUCUUCAUUUUGCCUUGUAAAAUUGCGUAAGCGAAACGUGGCCAGUAGAUGCGGUCAGAUUAGUCAGACAGUCCGGCUUGUCCAACUCCAAGUAGAACGACUCUAGCUAAAAAGAUCCACCCUGAACACGUAUCAUGGGAAUAGAUGCGAGAGACAGAGAUGAGGGGAGGGGGAGAGAGAGAGAGAGAGAGAGAGAGAGAGAGAGAGAGAGAGAGAGAGAGAGAGAGAGAAGCAUCAGUCGAGAACGACACGGCCUUAUCUCGUCUCGAGGGACGGACUUCCGUAAAGUGCCGCGACGACGAAUUCGUGUGCGUUCACAGCGACCAUCCGCUCGCUCGUUCGCCCGCUCGGUGACCGCAGGGCUGCAGAGUAAUUUGCAGCCAUGAAGUUAAAUAUUCCCACGUGAAAAGUGUUUAGGCCGUCGUGGUCCACGGGGUGGUGGGAGGGGACUGUAGUAGGAGAGGUGACUGAUGCGAGAGCGUGACUAAUGCAGCGUCCCGCAGGACCCGCGGUUCUCUCGGUUCGCCCAGGUCCUUUCUGCCCCCGUUCGUGCUUACCCUUUUAACCCUGCCGACGUCCAUCCUUUGACUCUUUCUCUCUCUCUCUCUCUCUCUCUCUCUCUCUCUCUCUCUUUCAACCCUGAUGUCCUUCCGCGGCAUUUCCACCGCUGCCGCUGCUAAGCAAUCCAUCAAAUAAUCUGUUAAAUAUGAAUGAUUGCACUUGGAGGAGAAAGACCCUCGGGUGGCGCGCCCUAAAUUUUCGACCCCUCGCGCGCACGACGAAUUAGCGAAAUUCAAAGACCGGUAAUUCGCGAUAGUGGAUAUCCUUGUCUGCGUUAGCGAGAGUCAUCUCUCGCUCGGCGUCUGGAUUUACAACGUUGUCUGACGGUUUUUAGAGAUCUGCGAUGGACGAAAAUCUAGACAGAUUUUCGAGGAUGAUUAAUCAGACUGACAGGGGAGAGGAUCUACAUACAUGUACGCAAUGAAAUUAUACCUUGCUCCGUGAUUAAGUUUUUACGUCAUUUAGUUGUUUUUGGGAGCGCCGUGCGUGUAAUUGCAAUUUUUUUGGCACUGCCAUUAAAAGUCGCGGAUCUGGGAUACGCCUGGUUUUGCAUUGAACCAUCUUUUUCAAACUUUCAAAACUCUUUUCUCGGAUUCUGAGUAUUUAUCUCGUAGCCACUUAAGCAGCAUCAGGGUAAUUAAGUUGAGAAUAUUCGUGCGGGGCCCUUUAGUGCAUUGCGGAGCUUUUUGUUCUUCGCGGUAGUGACAUUUUUCAUCGUUUACCCCGGCUUUUUCGCCCUUCAUCCUAUUUCUCCCUUCGCAGUCUCUUCUUUAGCGGUAUCCCACGGCCCGCAUGUUUAUUCAAGAGUCUCACGUACAAAAGAUAUUCCGCGGGCAAGGAACGUGACGCGUCUCUCUCCGGACGGGCGGCAGUUCUUUCUGGUACGAGCAAGAACGUCCGCCAAGCGGCGGCACGGAAACAGCGCGCGAAACACUGGAUGGGGAGCGCCGGAAAUGAAAAAGUUAUGUUUCGACCUGCGAGCUUUCGAGCGCGGACUCGUUUCGUCUUUUCCGGCGCAUUUGAGGUCCCCGCGGCGGGGUCGCUUUAAAAAUAAUCGAGGCGUACGACGAAAACGCGAGGAAAAGUGGGAAAUGGGAAACGCUCGUGUGCAGUGUCGGCGAUAAAUUCGUUCGCAUGCAACCUGGCAGAGCCGGGAUCUCGUUGCAUUCUACCGUCUUCUCGAAGAGAAACGUGGAUAUCUGGAAACAAAUUCACUCGUUCCUUUCUUCGCGCAAAUUUUGUAUUUUUACGCGCAACGUGAUUUACAAUUAGUUGCACUACGCAAGUUAAUGGUUAUUAGAUCAGCGAAAUUCGUAUUUUGCAAUUUAUUUUUAAGGAAUUUUCUGCGUUUACAUAAUUUGUUACACAUAUUUAAAACAUAAACAUAUAUGGAAUACUUUAUGAAUUUUUUGAUUAUACAAAUAAAAUUGCGCAAGUUGAAAACUCGGAUGAAAAGACAGCGUCAAAUGAAACUGCAAGCUCCGGACGACGAGAUCAUUAAGGUGCAUUUUUUUUCAAAGGCAGUUCUCUGGGAAACUGACGGAUGAAAAUAGUGGUACAACGGUUGCAGGAUGCACGAAGAAUACAUCACUGAAACACGUAGCUGUCUAAUGACUCUGAUUCUCCGAGGGUGCCAUUUAAAUGCAUGCUAUUCAUUCAUCAACGGUCUAAAUAUUAAUAUUAUACAUCUUCUUUCAUUCAACCAAAUUGUUGCAUCUUACACGAGAGAAUUUUGUCAUGAUAUAUUUGCAUGCUAUAUUUACGUGUGUGUGUGUAUAUUAGGAUAUAUCUUGAGAUACUCAAAGAUAUAUAUAUAUAUAUAUAUACCACCAUUGUACCACUAUAUCAGCGCACGAUGACAAGGAUGUUAUAUAUACGUUACGUUGAUGAACUUCACCCGCAUAAUAGCAAGGUUAUUAUCGAGGUACGAUAUUUAACUGCAACUAUGUUUAGCUCGGAACAUCAAGGAUGGAAAUUCUCCUGGAUGGUAAGAGCCAUGAAAAAAGAAAGCGAGGCGGUGAAAUUGUGAUUGCGGUCUGUAUUACACGCGGGGUGUACUUCGUGCGUGGGAUGACGGAAUGGUUACGUAUAUCCGUUUUAACAAGACAACGUCACGUAGCGAUGCCGCGCGUUAGUGGAUGAGACGGAAAUCCGAGCGAGGCCGCGAAGUUGGAUGCUGGAAAUUCAAGCGCACGUCGGACUCGUUCGUAUGUACGUGCUUCGUUCGCUGCUGGGUUCAACUGCUGAUAGUUCUCAUUGCGCGAAAUCAGCCUCGUUAUAUCCAACACGAAAAUAUAUACUACAUGCAUGCACGCGUGUACACGUGCACAGCCGUACCUCGCCCACCAGCAAUUCACCGGUUAAUGCGAACUAAUUACCGGUCGACUGGAAGUUAAAAAGUGCGGACAAGCCACCGCCGGCAUCCGCUUACUCUACGUCCGCUUGGCGGCUUCCGUUUCGCUUGGUGUUGCCUGUGCGCUUACAAUUCCCGUGAAAUGAAAGUUCCGCAAAGCGACGACGGCGGCGGCGGCGGCGGCAGCGGCAGCGACGGCGACGGUGGUGCGAGUUUCCACCUCUGCCCUCGCGAUACUUUGUCUCGCGCCUCGCCGACCUCUCUCGCCGGGCCCGUUUUAAUCCCCCGACAUAAUUUUUGCAACAAAGCGAAAGUACGCGGAACUAUGUGGAUGCCACUACGAGAACGCGAUACCAAAGGUUUCUCCGCGUGGCUUCUCCGCCCGCUGUGCUUAACGAACUGUGUACGCGUUCCUUGGCGGUCGCUGGCGGAACUGGUUCUUCUUUGACUUGAAGCGCGAGCCUCCGCAUAAAGGCUCAAUCGGAAUUUCGCGUGUAGAAUCAACUUGGCUCUUUGCCGAGUAUAACCAUUACUACCUUUCAUUAUUAUUAAAAUAUUACUUUUCUUAGCUUUUCCUUUAAUAUGUUAUUCCUUUAAUAUGUGCGGUAUGUUGAAACAAAACGUUCGACAACAGCUCUGAAUAAGACCGGAGGGUGAACCGAACUAAAGUUAAAAUCCCCGUGCGCUACGUAUCUAUUGCUCCGUAUCUCCUGCUAACGUCAUUGACAUCCUCUGGCUAUUAAUGUGCUAACAAUCUGUGUGCUCCCUCUCGAAGUCUGUUUAUAACUUCAACUGUGCUGACUAUGGAAGGUACGGUUAUUUCGCCGAAGUGGAAUUAUAUAUCGGAGCUCCUGGGAAGACUGUUUCCGGAGCUCAAGCGUUCGUUACCUACGUGGGUGAUGUAACGAAGGGUGGUAUUCCGUCUCUGUCUCGCUCGCUUGCUCGCUCUCUUUCUCUCUUUCUGCUUAGGGUAUAGCCCGAGGGGAGAACAAGGAGCGUUUAAGCAGCUUUCGUCGCACCGCCUCUGUAAGCUCGACCGGCACUAGUUUUCGUACUAAUAUUUGCCACUCGACUACCACCAGGCAACUCCGGGUUUCGGGCUGCUUCCUCCGUCCGUCCGUUCGUUUCGACCCUUCUCUCCCUCGCGGAGAGAAGCUUACUUCGCGUAAAUUCAAUUCGCAUGCCUCCGAACGCGUCCAACUCCAAUCCAAGAUCCUGCAGGAGUGCGGACUGGCAUGCCCGAUAUUCCGCGUGAUUUCUGUUCGACUUCGAUUUCUAGUCUCGAUCCGAACUCCCGAGUAAUGGAAAUAUCGGCGAUAUCUGCCCAUUGUCGAUGGUAUUCUGCAUUUGUAACUUAUCUUUUCGUUAUCUUAUGUUUUAUCUUACAUUUAUUUUAUUUAAAAGAUCGAAGAGAAAUUAUCUGCACAAUAGAAAUCGGUAAGAAGUCUCGCUGCCUUUUGAAAUUUUCAGAAGUGUAUUUAUUUUUUCGAAAAUUAUAUUCACCUUGCAGUGAAACGCUCCUUAAUGAAUUUAUCGGUUAUUGUGAAACUCGGCGCGUUAAUAAACCAACGCGACGCGAUUUAUGAUCGCGCAGAAAUUGAUUAUACGCCAAGUUCGUCCACUCGCUCGGCUCUUUAAUAUUGAACCCGCGACCAUGUAUUGCAUUUUGUGUCCACGCGUUCGCCGAUCGAUUGGUGUGUUGCAAUGCAAGGUUUAUAAUGCUGCACUCUAUACGAUAGUCUAAAUUUAUUUCGCGGUAAGUCACGUCGGUAUGCGAGAGCGUGCAACUUUACAGUUCGGCGGCAAGGCGGAGUACGAAGAAAGAGCUCAGGAUCAUAAAUCGCAGAACGCUGGACUUUCUUCGACGGUAGAAAUUGCGAAACUAAAUUAAUUACCUGUGAACCUGUGCGCAUCGCGUGCGCACGCUACGCGAGAGAAAAGGGUGCUAAUAAAUGGUCACGGGUAAGGGGAGGAGGAAGGGUUUUUGAGACGCCCUAAAGGAUAAUAGUUACGCGAGGGUUUCGAGCGAACGACACCGCCGUCUCUCUCGAGCCAUUAAAGCAUACGGUUAUAUAGGCCAAUCUAUAUUCGACAUCGCGCUAAUUAUCUUUACUUUUGAUCGACGAAUUAGGAACUUGGAAUAUAAAGCUCUUGCGAAACUUAUUAAUUAUAACGAAAAGUUGUAUGAAAUAAAUUUUUUCUCGUGUUACCCUUUUAUCUUUUGUGCUACAUAAAAUUUUUAAGUUAAUAAAAUUUACUAGUUUUUCCACUGCAGGAUUUACAAAAGAUUCUCGUUAGAUGAAAUUGUACGGUACAUUAAAUAUGAUUACAAUUAAUUUAGCAUUGAAUUUUUAAUAUAUUUAUUCUAUGACAUUUAUUUCAACUUGAAAAACAUUAAAGUUGAUGCGAUGGUCAUUCUGUAUAUCGUUUUAUCCAAAGUUAUCAGAAUACAAUGUUUAUCUCGGUUCAUAGUUACAACGUCCAGCGCUUCCACAUGUUACAGAAUUUUCUCGCGAUGAUCGAGACAUGGGGGAAGGAGCGAUGACGCUUUCGCCACUCAUUUCAUUAAAUAUGCAACAAUUAUUUCCGUAUCUACAGCAGCACGUAGUCCUUCUCUGUCGUUUUGUGACGCUGCGAAAUGGACCUUAUUUAGUUGACGGAGAGGAGAGCGCGGUACGACAGCGGUGAAUUUUCUGCGUGGAAAUUGGCGCGCCGUGCUGGCGCGUCCCUGUUACCUUAUAUGCCUCGUUAAAUAUGCAAGAAUUAUUUCCGUACGUUCCUAGAUGCGUAACUCGCGAAAUUGUUUGCGUCAAACAAAAAUCGUCCAUCAUGCCACAGAAUCAUCGAAUAAGUUUUAAAGUAUCUGCGAUAACAUGUAGCCGGUAUCUUCAAACGUCAAUUAGCCAAGAAUCGCUAGAGUUUAUUUUUUUAUAUGCAGUGUACAGAAUACUGGUGGUUUUUCAAAGGCGACACUCACGUUCUCAUCACGCGUUAUAUGCAUUUAGAGUACAUCUCGUGUGCGCGCGAAUAUUAUGGACAUCGUCCCAAGCCUGAUAAAAUACGCCUCGGGCCGCAUACGCGCGAGUUACCCGAAAUUAUGGCCGAGGAAUAUUAUUUCACCCUGCAUAGCCCCUAUUUAGACCUUCCCCCACGUGUCCCUCGCAUGCCCGCUUCGAGUUAUGCGGGAUACCUUGCAAGUAUCGCACUAUAUUACGAAGGCUACGGUCAUCCCCGCCGCCGCCGCCGCCUCCGCCUCCGCCACCGCCGCUCUAUGAUAUUCCGCUGCAUAUUUAACUAACUGUAAGUAUGGGGGAAUUCAGCGUAGUUUAUGCGGCUUGCGCAACGCGAGCAGGAUUCAUGGUUUUGCGCCAGCGAUGUUUUGUGAAUUUGGAAAAUUGUGCUCGAGUUCUCCUCGACGGUGUCGCAACAUUAAUAUGCAUAAUAAAUUUACGAUUAGCUUUUCGGAGCGAGGUUGUAGAAGCGGUCUGUGAUAGAAAUAAAGUUGAUCGCCGAGCGCGAUGCUUGCCAAAACGCUGCUUCGGCAACUAAAAUUUGAAAAUUGAAGAAUUACUAAUACGGCAAUUAUGGAAAUUCGCAGUUUUAUAUUAUAUUUCGAUUAAAUAAUAUGACAAAUGACAAUUUCAGAUUACGUAAUUAAAAAAUUUUUUUUUUCAAUAAUUUUAUACAAUGUAUUAUCUCUAUAAUAUAAAUCAUUACUUGAACUAGUGCAACAACGCUGUUUACAUUAUUUCUCCUGCACCAUUGAGCGCAAAAUGUGUAAUUAUGUAAUCUUUAAAUGGAAAUGAUUAUGAUAAAGCAUGAAUCGUAAAGAGUAGUGCGGAGUACUGCCUGCUCGCUUCAUACGCGAAAGCUAUCGUGGAAAGGAUCGCGUGUACUUUCACGACAGGUGAAUGUUCACGAUAACUAUGUAGGUAGGGCCGUGUCCUGUGGCGGCACGUUGAAAAGAGAUUGUAGCGAAAGAUACUUUCUGACGGGAAAACUUAUUUAAGUGACGACCUUUGUGCAGACGAUAAUGCUAAUGAGUUAGAUAAGCCAUUAUCACAUUCCAGCGCCAUUUAUUUUUUCGCAACGCACGCUGUAAAGUAGAUGAGUAAUGCGGUUAAAAUGCGCAGAAGUUAGACGCGCGAUAUUUUUCACGAAAUCUAAAGGGUUUUUAUCCGAUUCGAUACGCUACUUGUGUUGCUGCAGAUUUACGAAUAUCCGGUACAAAAAGCACAAGAGCUUUUUCUACAAACAAGGAACGGCGUUGAUGGGCAUAUCGGACGUAUUUCAUUAUUUAAUUAAAAUCCGGCGUGGUAUUCGUACGAGCGGGGCUGGCAUCUGGAAGCCUGAGACUAACUCAGGAACAAUGGGAACAAAUAUAAACGGCCGGUUUUUCGGUCUGGAAGGCGUAGGAGCCGAGAAAAAGAGAAAAAAGAAGUGCGAGAAAGACGCGUGCUAAUUUGCGGGAUAUUGGCGGAGGCAUGGAUGCGGAGAGCGCACGGUCGGGCAUCGAAACUUCAGACGAGAGCUUUUUGCGCUUCCCUUCGCGCUAUACUUUCGUGCCGCGAAUAAUUAUUGACGAUUAUUAACUGGUGAAGUUAUAGGCGGGGAAAGUUCGUCGAUGCGCUUCCUCGCGGCAGCUUUAUAGAGUUGGAAAUUAGACUAUGUUCGCCAUAUAAAUUAGAUACGACGACCGAUGGUUUAUAAUCGUAAUAAAAUACGACUUGAUUAACGUUUGAUCUUUAUUAGUGAACAUUGCGCAGCUCUAUCGAAUCUUUCUCGUAGCUCGAUGUGUAUGAUGUUAUCGAAGCUCUCUCUAAGCUCUGUCACAUAUUCGUAUUCGUUUUGGUUUAAUCGAUGUUAGGCUCGUUUAAGCGAUACGGGUUUGGUAACUUUAACUGAUAACAUAAAAGCCAUCGGUUUCAGAUUGUGGAACUUUAACUGAUACCGUGGAAGUUAUCAGUUAUAAGCUACGCAACUUUAACUGAUAACUUUUAGGUUAUCUGCUAAAGUUUGAAAUCUAUAUCGGAUUCCUGAACGAAAAAUGUUGCGUAUAGCAUUCGCUAGGUAAGUUUCGUCUGAUUUGCGAAAGUUACAGAAGAUACGAACAUGUUCAGUGUUCGUGUGUGUGCACCAUUGUUCCGAGGUGCUCACUUAGGGAUAUAUGAUCAGAGCGUAUCGAAAAUAUAAUUUCUGCAAGGACAUACAAAAAAUUUGCUUUAACUAUUCAUAUAAUUUUUAUGUAUAUCAAAGUAUUUUGAAAAGUAACGUAACGUGAUAUAUUAAUCGUUCGAUGCAUCUGUUAUAAAAUGUCGUAAAGAGCCAACUUUUUAUUUUGUUAAAAAUACAAUAUGGUCAAUUGUUUUGAAAUUUCAAUAUAAUAUUGGUUUUGCAUUAAAUAACGUGCUAUAUAAUUUUUAAAUAGAUUUAAGCAUUUUUUGAUCAUAUCUCCUUGAAUGCAAACUCUCCAACAACUGAAUGUAAAAGACUCGCGACACGGAAAUGGCAAUUUUAAUGAAAUCACGGAAUUUAAUUGAAAACUAACAUUUAGCUAAUGGAUCCGGCGAAUUAACCGCGCUGAGGCGUAAAAAAACGCAGGAAUUAUUUCUCCUUUCUCUGGAAAACCACAGCCGAUCGCGCCCGUCCGCAUUUUUCCGACUAUGGACGUAUGCGACGAACCGCAAUAACGUUUAGCCAAUAUUCCAUCAAAUUGACUGACCCGUGUCCUGUCUUUUUCUUCUCGAUUCGCUCGCGAGGACGAACGGGCGAAUAUCGAAAACUCUUUUUCCACAUUUCGCGUCACCGCGGCGACCCAAUAGCGUUAGAGUUUUCGUAGAAUCGACACGUUAUAAUUUGUCGACUGUGUUGAUGUUGUUUCACAAAAAUUCUCUUUGACUGGUAAAUUACAUGUCACAUAAAUUAAUUUUACUUUUAACGUUAAGAUUACUAUUACAUUAAAUUGUUAUUAAUGUAUUUCUGUUUCUUUUUUUCUGUGAUAAAUUUGAUUUUAUCCCUUUCUUGUUUUCCGAAUAUAUUAAAGAUAUGUCAACGCGUGAGACUUAAACAUUUCACAGACCAAGAGGGCAAUUAUUUUGCAAGCACAGCGCUCGCAGCGAGAGCAUCUGCAGAUUAGCGACAAAGCGGCGCGAAGAGAACAACAGGGACGCAUAUAAUUUCGCCGACAAGCUAAUCCAGGUAGCCGUGCCUUCGAUAACGUCGGUUCCAGAUUUACCCGUGGGACAGGCGGUAAAUUUCGCAGCUGACAAAGCCGAACCCUUCGUUCCACUUCCGGGUCGCGGCCGGACCGACGUAAUUAGUGUCCUCCGCGUUGGGCCACAUCGGCGGAGAUUAUAAUUGGACGCGUGAAAUGUCUACCGAUUAAUAAUCGGAGGAGCCGGGAAAUAUGGCAGCGCAAGGUAUGACCGAUCACCCAACUUUCCGGUUCGCUUUUCGUCGAAUUAAUAGCUGGGUUUAACCUCGAGGCUCAUGGAAAAUGGUGGACGUGUAAUAAGUUGAUAAAAAUAAAUGCUGAUCUCGCGGAAUACAAUUAGAAAUAGUGAAAAAUACAAGAAUUUUUUAAUUCGUACAUCUUAGAUGUCAAAAGUCUGACGUUAUUUUACUUUAUUUUUACUUUCUACUUUGAAAUAGAUUUAAUGAUUCAAUUAUGGCUUAAUGUAAAAUUGAAUGUAAAAUAGAAUGCCGUAUUGAUCGAGCAAGCAAUCGCUCUCGUUGUUUGAAAGAAAGCUAGUAGCAAUAAUGUAACAGAAAAUAUCGUCGGCAUUCGUCACGUUCACGACUGGACCCGCCACCGGAUGCGGGAAACAAAGUUGGACGAUAUAUCGCGUUCGACAUAACUUGAUUGCCACUGUCUCUCCCUCUUUUCUCUCCCGUCUGUCUAUUCGUCGUUCUCCGACUCUGCGCGGCGCGGCGUGCGGAUAUGAUAGAUGGUUUCUUCGGGGUCCAAUUUUCAGCGCGUAACGCAUCCCAUGUCUAACAUCGUGCGACGUUUUCGUCCUUCCGCCUGUUCUCUUCAUUUUAUUUCCGUUCACAUCACCCAUCACAUUUAUGCCUAAUAUAUUACCAGUAUACAUACGCGGCCAUAUGCACGAUCGAUCGCGCGUAAAUUAGAGUGAGUACUUGUAAUUUUUUUAAUAUACACGGAAAAAAACAAUUUUACGGAAGUACAAAUCUGAAAAUUAUGACUUUACAUCAUUAGAAAAAUUAUAUUGGCCAUUUAAGCUGGAACGUCAAAAGUUAUUAUUGAU